UCUGGCCUCCAGUGGAAUCAGUUACCCCUGCCACCACCUGACUGUGUGCAGAAGAUCUUCCCCUGCGCUCACGGUGGACCAGACAGACGAGUGCACAGAUGUUCACAUGGUCAGUGACAGUGAGGGAGAGGAUUUCGAGGAUGCACCUGAGUUUGGUGUAGAUGAAUCUGAAAUCUUUGGCAUGGGAAGCUCAAGUUGUCGAAAGUCUCCGAUGAUGCCAGAGAACAGUGAAAA